ensembl:lncRNA
AUGACUUCCGCUGAGCUGCGCCGUUCAGGCCGCAAGAGUGCAGGUCAUCGAAAGCACAGUGAUGGAGGCUACAGCGACACCUCAAGCGUUGGAUCCUACCUGGACGAGACUGACCGCGAGGUCAGCAACCUGACGGAUCGAGCAUUCAGGAGUCUCUGCAUUGGAGACGAGGCGGUUUACAACGACUCAGAUCUCUGCUCGUCUUCUCCGUGCGGCCAGAGAGACAGACAGCUGGCCUUUUGUCAGAGACGUCAGGACGGAGACGGAGAUGACGAUAACGAGAGGGAGGAGCUUGACAGGACUGUGCACGAAGGCUUCCGCCUUAAGACGCAGCAGUAUGGACCGGACCAGAUCCAUGGCCCAAUGUAUGAAGCUGAGAUACAGAGAGAUCCACGUUGGGAGAUUAAUGGGGAAAGAGGGCAAGGGAGGGUUUCUGCCACAUUCCGGCACUCCUUUGUGGAAACCUCUCAACAGGAAGAGUACCUGGGAGAAGAACAGCUUUCCUUCCACAGCAACGGAGCCACAGAGUCCAGUAUGCAGCAACGUAGAAGCCGCUCAAGAGUUUCUUCUCUGAUCAGAGCUUUUAACUCUGAGGGACAGAGGGACGGAGCAGGAAUGGAUGGUAAACUCAGAGAGUGGAACGAUGAGACAAGCUGGGACAAAUCUGCUCUGAUGAGCAUCCGAAGGGAACUUUCCGAGUUCUCUACGUCUUACCAGCAAAACAGUGGGAAUUUCCCCUCAGCUGGUCCGUUCUCACCACAUGACAACAACUUCCACUCCCACGAAUUAGCAGCAGCGGCUCACGUAAAUUAUGCGUCGUCUUUUAUAAGCUCAUCCCACAAUAGACAAAGCAUGUCCGAGCAACACUGCCGGUCUAACUUCUUUAUACACAGUGAGUUCAGUCCCUUCAAGGUAUGGAGGGACCAUAGCAGGUUUCCCUUCCAACAGGCCGGAGUCUCAGGGUUUGUGCACUGUUCAGAGUUCCCUAAAUGGUAUGAGACACCAAUGUACAGGGAGCUUUCGCUGGAUGCCCAACCACAGGGUCCCUAUCGGUAUGACGAGAGGGGUAUCAGACACCCAAGAAAUACCAUGGCGCCCGCGGCUCCUCCCGCUCUUCCGCGCCCCACCUCAACGUCCACGUUGCUGCAGAAGGCUUCAGCCGUGGAGAAGCGCUGUGAGUCAGAGUUGACGGGUCAUUACCCCCACAAGACGUGGAUGCAGAGCCCGGGAACCAAAAGGUUCCCAUCGCAACGGCCGUCGACCGCGUCGCCCACCAGUGAGAUGUCUCGGCGCGUUCAGGACACCAUCAGCUCCGUCAAAGCCCUUCAACAAAAAAUCAAAAUGAUGACGGAGCAAAAUUCUGCAACAGGGAUAACAGCAAAUGAACAAGGAGGGCUCUGUAGCAAUGCUCCUUUAAAUCCUUUUGGCAACGGCGCACCAAAUGCUCUGCGCGGUGACACAAGCACGACUCCCUUCGGCAUCAGCCACCUGCUAACGCCUUUAGUCCGUCACGAAGCGGAGACGACAGAGGUCCGGCACUCCGCCGUUAGCCCUCAACCCGUGGAGCAUCCUCCGGUGCGAGCAGAGAGCAGGGGAGCCACGCCUGAUGUUCGGGUGUCCAGCUACAAAUCCAGGGCCACGGGGCUACUCUUCAAUCUCAAAGACAACAGGAAAAGAGUAAAAAGCACCUACAGUCCAGCCACAUUUAUACGAUCAGAGACCCUGGAGAAAAACAAACACUGCUCCACCCAGGAAUCUAGAGAUACUGUGAUAGACAUCCCUGAUUUUCCGGAUCGAGACGUGCAACUUUUCCAGGGAGAGGAAUCCAGCGUGGAAAGUGCUGACUCACAUCAAUACGUAAACCAGUAUAACAUCCCUGGAUGGUUUACAAGACAAAAUUCUCAAACUGCACAUAGAGGCCUGUAUCCAGAGUACACAUCAAGGGAUUACCAGAGAGGUCGGAUACAAAGUGAUGUGGUUAAUCCUUCUGAAUUCACUGGCUUCUUACCUGAAAAUAAUUCCAGCUAUCAGCAGCCGGCAAACGGACAGACUCUCCAUGAAGACAUAUGGUCCUUUAAUCCUCAUAAGCAAGACAAUGCCAAUAAUGUAGAAACUCCGGGAGGAGAUCUAUACCGGUUUGAGCCAUCUUACACAGCUACAGAAAUACCAAGGCUAAAUGCUGACAACAAUCAACCAAGAGAAGAUUUAAUAAGUAAGGCAAAUGCUGAACAACAUGUUAAUGAAACAUUGGGAAGGGAAUUCACAAAGGUGGAUGGAUAUGAGCAACUGAAAGAAAACAAACAUGAUUACAGUAAUGUAUCUUCGGAGGAUAGGUGGAGACAAACAAACACAGAAAAUCUCCGUCUGAAAACCAUCUCUCCAUGGAAACAAGAGAUAACUGCUUUAACGGAUAAAGAGCAACAUGAAGAGUCUUACCAAAGAGCAGACGUGAUGAAGGAGAGAGCAAACUCACUCAACAAAAAAUACAGAGGAGAAAAUCAGUUUAUGGACACUUUUUCUUAUGGUAUAAAUUCUCAUAAAAAGGCUGAAUUGGUCAGUACUAAUAUUUCAAACCAGCAGCCACAAAAUGCUCCAUUUUGUUAUGACACUGUUGCAAGAUCAGCAUACAGCGGACAACAGCAACCUGGAACUUUAAAGGACAAAAGUCCACAUCAAAAGUAUAACGGACACAUUCAUGAAAAUGAAUUUAAGGAAAAUAAUUUGACACAGAAGUAUAACAGACAUACGGAUCAACAAUCUAAUGAAGACAAAAGUACACAGUUACAAGAAACGCGCCGUAGAAAACAAUUUACGCCGAUUCCAAAGGUGUAUGAAAAGCAAAGCCAGCCGCCGACCGAACAGAGACCGAGUCAUGGACCUGCACUGGCAAACCAGGUACAAGUCAGGCACUUUGUCGAGGUCAGGACAGAACCGGCCGUGACAGAGCACAUGAAAGUGCAACGCGCCCACGCAGAGCUGGCGAAGCCUCAGCACGGGGAUCAAGUGGAGCCGCCUGCCGCAGCAGAGUCGGCUGGGUUAAUUUUAGCAGGGACGACUGGUCUGGAGAAAGUCAGAGCGGAUCAGGCCAGAGCAGAAGUAACGGGGCAAAAGAGAGUAAACCCGGCUAGAGCGGAACAUUUUGAAGAGGAGAAAAGAGAACAGGAAGAGUAUGGAGAAAAACAACCAUGUUGUACAAGAAAGGAACAAACAGAAACAGGGCAAAUAAGAGCACAGAAGGUAACAGAGGAGCCUACAGACAUUACGGAGGAAGUAGGAACUGAGCACGGUGUGCAGGUCAAAGCAAUACAAGCUGAAGCUGAGAGACUAAAAAAAGAACACAUAAAAACUGAACUGGCAAAGACAGAACAAGCUGGACGGGCGAGAUUGGAAGAAGAAGUAAAACUAGAGGAGAUACGAAAGCAACAAGUUGAAGCGGGACAAAAGACUGAGGUGGUUGAAGUGGAAAAGGUCAACGCAAACAGCAUUCUUGUUGAGGCUGUUAAACAAGAGAGCGGUGAGGAAGAAACAGUUGGAGCGAGUCAAUUUAAUGCAGAUCAACUUACAACACAGAUAAAUAAAGCCAAAGUGACAAAGACAGAUCAGACAAAGUUGGAACAAACCAAAGCAGAGGCAACGAGAGACAUGCAGGAGAGGUUGUCUAAAACUGCAGCAAAACAAACAGAGACACAACAGAUCAAAAGUGAGCCGGGCAAAGUGAAGACAGAGCUGGCUGAAAUUAAAGCAGGAGAGCAAAAAGAGAAAAGAGAUCUUCCCCAAAUACAUCACCAAAGGGAAGACAUAGAUGUCACAGGGCAAUAUUUGGAUGAAGCUAACAAAGGGUCUGAAGAGUAUGAGCGUCUUCGAGAGAAAUACGGUUUCAUUGAUACAGACUCUGUAAGCAAAAACAAAGCAUCCGCCACAGGAAAUGUUUCCUUGAAUGGUGCAACAACAGCCGCAUCUGUCGUUAAAGUUGAGACGACAAAUAGCGAAAAAUCCAAAAACAGUUCUAGUCCUAGAAGCAAAGGUGAGACAGCCAACACAGAAGAAAAAGAGGAAGUAGGCGUUUUCAAACCCACUGAGAUGAAAGAGAGCCGGUUUGUUUACAGUGAGUCAUACAAAGACUUCGAAUUAUCUGGUGGAAAUCAUUUACCUAAAAAUGUAGAUAAAAUGAAUGAUGACAGUGUUGAAAAGUUGGAAAAGUGUGACCCCUUGAAACAAACUGAUAUUUCACAGCACAGAGAGUCAAUUCAGUUCAAUUCAGCUCAAAUGCUUCGUCUUGAAAGAAACCUGAAGUCCACUGAACACAGUGCAGGUCCGGGGAAAGAUCAGCACUUCACUCCUCCCAGGGCAUCGUCCAGCAAAGAGAGAGCUCAGACCAAGCAAGAGAUUUUGACCUCCAGGAUAAAAGCUCAUGCUGAAAAAGAGAUUUCAGCUAUUAAAGAAAAGGGUUUUGCUGUAAGAGACGGGUUUAUCUUCAAAAAUUCUACAAAGCAAUUAUUAGGUGGUCUAAGUUAUAAUAUACGACAAAUGCCUCCAUCACAGGAAGUGCCUAGGAAGCAUGAAAGCACUAUACCCAGUAAUACAACAACGAAGCACCUGAUGGAGCCUCCAGGACUACAGACAGAAACAAUGAAGUCUGUUUUACCUCCCAGCUCGGCUGCAUUAUCUGUUAGGUCUGCAGCAACUAGCAGUCAGCUAGUCGACCUGCUACUAAAACAAGGUCCCCAAGAACCAAUGAAGAGCAACUACGAUGCACCAAAACCACUCGGAGAAGAAAAGAUGGGGAGUUAUUCCAUGAGCACAAAUGAGGACAUGGGAGAAAAUCAAAAGAAAGAUAAACCAUGUGAAAUGAAGUCAACAAUACAAAGUAAAGAACAAGCCCCCAAAAACAAGCGAUGCGACUUGGAGGCCAAUCAAGGAGAAACCUCUGGAAAACCGAUAGAAGAACACACUGACGAUUUGGACAAAAAGAAAGAGCGUCCAUCACAAGCUACGGCUCUGGUCAAAGCAGACGACUCUGAAAGCAUAACGACAGAAAAGACUGAGAGUGAAGCUGAAGCAGUUCACGAGGACUCAGCACCUUCAAUAAAUCUGGUCUUUGGUCAGAAGGAGAUCCCAGCCGCAGAUGACAGCUUGCAGAUUAUGGGAAUAAUGGUAACUGUGCGGGAAAGAAAGCGAGCUACGGACAACAGUCCGGGCAAGAGCAGCAUUCAGGAACACAUGACAGUAAAAGAGUGCAGUAAUGCAGAGAUGGAUAGAUUUCAUCCUGGCUUGGGUCUGGAAGUAAGUGAUGGAAAUACAUCUCCAGAAGAAGUUAGUGCUGUACAGAACACUCCUCCUGCAGUGAAGCAAGAUCCAACUAGAGUUGAUAGUAAUGCUCAUCUGCAGGAAAAUCCAACAUCAGAGACAAGACAGAACAAUGUGUCUGAAAACAUCAGUGGGAAAAGGGCUAAUCACCAGCUGGAGAGUUCUUCUAUAAAUGCUAAGUCACAACUCCACGAACAAUUGGAUGAACAACCUGUGCCCUCCUCAGUCAUGUUAGCAACUAAAAAUGAAGUGGCUGAAAUUCAACCCCUUCUCCGCAACCAAGAAAUAACGACAAGUCAAACAAAAUACUACACAAAUGAAAUGUCAGAGGAAAACUCAGGAAAAAGCAUAUUGAAAGAUGAAGAAAAGAGAUAUACUGAAGAGACGAAUCUUCAGAAAAGGCAAACAACACAUACACAGAACUCUAUGGCCAAAGUGGCGAAUACAGUAAUCAGCUACCCAAAAGAUUCAAACGCCGCUGAUGCUGCAACUCUGAUCAAACGCGAUGUCCAGCCAUUAGUGAAAGAGGAAGAGACAACUGUCAUAAACGCAUACAAAAGCAGGAACGCAGAAGGCGAGCGUGCGCUCCCCGCGGAAGAAAAGGCCUCUUACUCAAUUACACCAAAUCCGAAUACCAAACAUCAGAACAAAGAAACACACAUUGGAGGAACUGAUCAAAUGCAUGAUAAAGUGCAUACGGGCGCCAUUGCCGUCAGAGUUGCAACAGCAGUAACUGAGAAGGACAACCCAAAUUUGGCGGGAAAACAUCAUGUCAACCCUGUUCCUUCUGACUUGGUUGCUGCUAAUGAACAAAAGCAAGUUGGUUCAUCGGUUCUUGAAGAAAAAGUAAUCUCUUUCAACCAUGAAGACAGAGGCAAAGACUUUAUUUCAGGAAGAAGUGAGAAGCAGGUGGAAAACUGUUUAGAAGACACAUCUGGAGUUCAAUGUGUGUUGUCAAGUGCAAAGAAACUGUCUGAUUCAUUAAAAAUGAGCCAUCAACCGGACAACACGAAUGCAAACAGUGGGAUUACUCAAACUAAAAUGGCAAAGCCUGAUAAGUUAAACAAAAGCGUGAAGUCCGUGGAUGAAUCAAUGAUACAACUAAUGGUAGGAGACUACUUUCAAGUUCAAAGCGUAGCAGAAACAAGUAAUGAACCACACAGCUCUGCAAAGGUUGGAGAUUCGUCAGAGGCUGUUUCAAAGGGAGAGGAACUUCCGAGAUUGCCACCCAACAAGGCAGCUAUCUGCCAUGAGUCAUGCUCUGAAGGAAAACAUGAAGACCCAAUGUUGGGUUACAGUAAGAGGAAAACAGUUGAAUCAAGUUCUGUUAGAAAGAACCGAGAAACUGAAGGUAAUCCGGCCUCCAAACAAAGUUAUGGUCCCUCAGAGAGAUGGAGUAAUGAAAAUGAGAACACAGAUGCAGGUCAAGCUAGUCAUAUCGUAAAACAUCAUGGAGACAAUCGGUCCAGUUCGUCAGCAAGGGAAAGACAGAGUACAAGAAGUUCUAUUGCAAGGAAGGACCAAAGGGUCAAAGAAAAGCCUGAAAUAAAACCAUUACCAAAAGAAAGGGUGUCCACAAUACCUGAGAUUUCAGCAAUUGCAGACUAUGCAAGAUUAAAAGUAAUUGUUUCAGAAGACGAGGAAAACGUAAUUCAGGAAUUCCCACCCAAUAAAAAGGAGGGAUUCUUUCCGCUAAUACAAACUCGUCAUAGCAGACGUCCAGUGUUCACUGCUGACCCACAAGAUCUCUCUGUGAAGGACAAACAUUUGCACAAUGAAACGGAAGCCAGCCCUAAAGUGAACAAAGAGGCCAAACCUUUAGUAUUUCCCAUAACAGAGAAAGAACACCAACGGACAGGAAUGUUCAAGCUGGCAGACAAAGAAAUACAAGAGAAAAAGCCUUUGGAUACCAAAAUCAAUGAAUGUGUCCCAGACACAGGGGCAAAACAUGCACAACAUCUCAAAGACACAAACAAAUCACCAACAACUCCCCAUAAGAACCAAAGAAGUGAAGAACAGGAAUCUGAAUCUGGAGUUUGUCAUGUUGCACAAAAUAUUCAUCAUCCAAACAAUCCUCCCGUUCAAGCAACAACCUCAACUUCUGCUGUGAACGAGCAGAGAAGCACUUCUGUGUCACAACACCUGAAGGCCCUUGAUGGGUUCAACGUACAGGGAAGCGCAGCAACGCAACGGCAGAGAGGAGCAAAACAGUUUGAGGAGAGAAACACUUCUAGGCUAGAAGAGGAGAAAAGAGCAGAACCAAAGAGGAGAGAAGAGCCGCUCAGAGAGAAGAAGAGAAGAGAGCAAGAGAGCGGGAGGCCAUCGCCAUGAAAAUCAAGCAGAGACGGGAAAAACAGAGAGAGGCAGAAAGAAAAGCGAGAGAAAAACAAGCUGCUCAAAAGGAAGAGGAGAUGAGAACAAAGCAAAGAGAAGAAGAAAGACAAAUGCAGGAAAUUGAGGAGGAGAGGUUGAUGAUGAUCGAGAAGGGGCGAAGACAAAAAUUGAGAGAGGAGGAAGAGCGGAGGAAAGAGGACAAGGAGAGGAGGUUGAAACAGCGAGAGGAUGAAAAGGCCGCACAAGAGGAGCAACAAAGGAGAGCUGAUCAUGAGGAGCAUCAGAGGAGAGCUGAUCAAGAAGAGCAGCAGAGGAGAGCUGAUCAAGA